GACGUGCUCUGUAAGCUCGGCGAGAAGUGCUCCCUUAGCGACUGCCGGAGAAUGAUCAGCAACGUUGACGCUGACGGUGACGGCAGCGUUAAUUUCGAGGAAUUCAAGAAGAUGAUGGCUCGCUCUUAAAAUCAUCGCGACUCCAUUGUUAAAAGUUAGAGAAUUGGGGCAAGAACUCAGUCCAAUCUUAAAAGAAAAACACAGUCCGAUGCAAAAGGCUUAGAAAUAUUUAUGAUAUCGCUGCUAGCAGUCAACUUGAAGUCGUUGAAGACUCCACAACAUUUAAAGGUGCAAUAAAGAAAAAGGACUACACUGCUGAGCAUAAAUGUACAGAGGAAAAUAUCAAUACAUGAAUAGUUUGAACACAUUUUUAGUUUUAAAUUAUUAAAGUAUUCGAUUAUGUCUUUUAUAUUUAAUAAGACGAUAUGUAGAAAUAACUAUAAUCAUAAACUUUUAUUGAUGAAUGAGUA
rnacentral:sRNA from 1 species